AACAUGUCUUUAUGAAAUUAAUAUAAAGUCUGAUCUGCUCAAUGAGAAAUUAAAUAGCUGCAGAAAUUUAACUGUGCAAAGGUAGCAAAAUCAAUAGUUUUUUAAUUAAAAGCUGGUAUGAAUGAUUUGAUAAGGUAAAUAUUGUCUCAAUUUUAAUAAUAUUAGAAUUUUUUUUGUAGUAAAAAAACUAUAAUAAAUUUAAAAGACGAGAAGACCCUAUAGAAUUUAAUUUUUUUUUGUUAGUAAAAAUUUAAAAUAAAAAAUAAUUUUUAAUAAAUAAAAAUUUGGUUGGGGAAAUUAUUAAAUUUAAUUAAUUUUAAUUAAAUAAUAACAUUAAUUUAUGGAUAUUUGAUCUUAGAUAAAAAUUAAUAGAAUAAAUUACCUUAGGGAUAACAGCGUAAUUUUUUUGGAGAGACCAUAUUGAUAAAAAAGUUUGCGACCUCGAUGUUGAAUUAAGGUUAAAUUUUAAUGAAGAAAUUAAAAAUUUUUGGUCUGUUCGACCAUUAAAAUCUUACAUGAUCUGAGUUCAAACCGGAGA
rnacentral:rRNA from 1 species